GCAAGUCGAACGGUAGAGGGGGCAACCCCUUGAGAGUGGCGAACGGGUGAGUAAUAUAUCGGAACGUGCCCAGCCGUGGGGGAUAACGUAGCGAAAGUUACGCUAAUACCGCAUACGAUCUAAGGAUGAAAGCGGGGGAUCGCAAGACCUCGCGCGACUGGAGCGGCCGAUAUCAGAUUAGGUAGUUGGUAGGGUAAAGGCCUACCAAGCCAACGAUCUGUAGCUGGUCUGAGAGGACGACCAGCCACACUGGAACUGAGACACGGUCCAGACUCCUA
rnacentral:rRNA from 1 species